rnacentral:lncRNA from 1 species
CAUAAAAAGAAUGAAAUUUUGUCAUUUGCAACAAUGUUCAUGGACCUAGAGAGUAUUAUGCUUAGUGAAAUAAGGCAAAGAAAGACAAAUACUCUGUUAUCACUUAUAUGUGGAAUCUAAAAAUUUAAGCAAAUGUAUUUACCAAACCAGAAACAGACUCACAGAUAAGGAGAAUGGAGGAGUGGUUACCAGUGGGAAGAGGAAAUGGGGGAGGAAAAUAGUGGCCUGGGAUUAAGAGGUACAAAUACUGUUUAAAAUAAAUAAGCAACAAGAAUAUACUGUAUACCACAGAGAAAUACAGCAUUAUUUUGUAAUAAUUUUAAAUGGAGUGUAAUGCAUAAAAUAUUGAAUCACUCUGUGUUACACCUGAAACUAAUGUAAUACUGCCAAGCAACUAUCCUUCAGUAUAAAUAAAUAAAUGCAUGCAUACAUACAUAUAGUAGAAGAAAAAAGAAAACAAAUGGGAGACUGAGAUGCUAGAUAUCCAUGGUGGAAUGGCUCUCAGUAAUCUCAGUUGAGUUGGUAUAAGCUGGAAAAUAAAGGAUGAACAUGGGUCAGCCAUAGAAAAAAAUUAAGGGAAGAGCAGAUCUAAUAGCAGAAAUAGCAUGUGCAAGAGCUCGAGGCUCUUGAAGGAAUGAAAAGAAAGUGAUAUGGCUGAAGCUUGGGGAAGGGAGGAGAGCCUGUGGCUGGAGAUGAGUCUGCAGAGAGGCAGAGACUCCUGGGACUUUGUAGGUCCUAGUGAGGAGCUGGAAUCUUAGUCUAGGUGCUGUGAAAUGUAAAGGCUUUUGGGGGAGGGACCUGGUUAUAAAGACUGUUUUUAAUCUAAGAUCACCGUGUAGAUUAAAGGUAAAAAAUCAGUCAGGUGAAAGGUGGUUUUGUGCACCUCACAGUGUUAUUAAUGAGAGAAAGAUGGAAUGAGGUAUAUGGAACUUCUUCGAAGACCAUAUAAUGGUCUACAGAUGCAGAGUGAUGAAAAGAAAUAAGUGCAGGUGCUAAAUGCAGCUGGCUUUGUUUGGCUCUUCUUUGUAAUGGAAUUGCGUUUUUCAGUGUCCAGGCUGCUUGGUGAAUGGCGUCUCAAUUUUUCCCCUCGAAGAUUAAGUUGCACAUAGGAGGUGCUAGACAGGCAGGUCUUCUGCCCUGCCUGUGGUUUCUGGAUUUCCAGAUAUGUGGGUGGCUGUUCCUGAAACACAUAGUGACGUUUUGGGGCCACCGGCAGUUUGUUAGUGUGUAGAAAGGGGGAGCAUGGAUCCAAGGAAGCCAGGGAGGAAGGUGCCUGGCUAUUUGGCAUUUGGGAAUACACACACACACACACACACACACACACACACACACACUUGUCCUUCGUCUUUUUAGGGCCACACCCACAGCAUAUGGAGAUUCCCACACUAGGGGUCUCAUCGGAGCUGCAGCUGCCGGCCUACACCACAGCCACAGCAAUGCCAGAGGCCAGCCGUGUCUGCGACCUACAGCACAGCUCAAAGCAACGCCAGAUCCUUAACCCACAGAACGAGGCCAGGAAUUAAACCCACAACCUCAUGAUUCCUAGUCAGAUUCGUUUCCGCUGCGCCACGACGGGAACUCCAAGAUGGUACCUUCUAAUGUCCCAUUACAAAGUCCCCUUUUAGGAAUGUGUGAAAAUGGGUCACUGGGACCACAUUCAGACCACAUUUCUCUUGGGACUAUUUAAAACCUUAUCUCCUGUGUUCUGGCACUGCUGAGGCCAGGGGACCUGUUUCAUAGUCUCUCUUAUAAUAAAGCAGUUAGAUUGUAAUCCCCACAGUAGCUGGGUUUAUGCACUUCUCCUAAUGUUCAGUAUACAACCACGUGCCAUUAGAUAGUAAAUAAGAUGACGGAAGCAGCACCCACUUGGUCAUUAUUCACAGAAACUGACACUUGGGUAAUUUUUAAGCAUUAGGAAAGGAAAAAAAAUUUGCAUUUAAAAAUUAUUUUUUGAGUUCCCAUUGUGGCUCAGCAGGUUAAGAACCUGACAUAGUCUCGAUGAUGAUGUGGGCUCGAUUCCUGGCCUCCCUCAGUGGGUUAAGUCGCAGAUGUGGCUCGGAUCCCCUGUGGCUGUGGUAUAGACUUUAGCUGCAGCUGCAAAUUUGACCCCUCACCUGGGACCUCCCAUAUGCUGCAGGUGUGGCCCUGAAAACGGAAAAAAUAAAAAUUGUUUUAAGCUAAUUUAUUAAUUGAAAGUGUAGAAACAAAACUUUCCAGUUGCUGUUACUUGGUUGUCAUUAGCAGAUAGGAAACACUGAUGUUUCUUUCCGGUGUGUCAUUUUUUUUCUUGGACUUAUGGUUGGAGAAGAUAUGAAUAGAAAUUUAACCCUAGUGUGUUUAAAAUACAGGUUCUUAAACUUUGUGGGAGGAGUAGGGUCAGGAGGCCUCAUGAAGCUUUUUGAAAAUGGAUGAAAACUAAGGUUCCUCUCCACGUGGGAGAACAAUGCCAGGAAAGCCAUAAACACCAAAUGGACCGUGUAAUUUCAGAGAGAUCUUAGGGUCCCAUGAAGUUCAUCCCGUCAUGGCUGAUCGGGCAUCUCUAACCCAGAAGACGGAAGAAAAUUGAGGUGAACACAUACCCAGAACAUAGCCAAAGCAUGGAUGGGCAGUCCUUCAAGGGAGGAUUCUCGUAUUCUGUGCCAGAAAUGGACUGUGGUUAUUCUGGCUUCAGAAUGGUGUGGCUAGGGAAUGUGGCUGAGGCCCCAUCAUCUCAGGGCGCUCACCUUGAAGGUGGUCCAGUCCAAACAGGAUUUAGAAUUUUAAAAACUUUCUAACCUCAACCCCCUUGAUUACUAAUCUGACCUGAUGCCAUUUCUGGCCCAUAGGAGGGGCAGCCCCAGCUGUCUGGUUUACUCCUUGUCCAAAGGAAAUUAGGGAGGUAGGCAAGUGAGUUCUCACAGUUUGAAAAUGCAAAUAGUGCAUUUAACCUGGACUCUUCUUUUCCUUUUCCUAGGAAGGUAGAGGGGUGGAAACAGAGUCUUUGGACAGAAUAGCUCUCUCAAAAAUGCCGCCAUGAAGUUCCCAUGGUGUCACAGUGGUUAACGAAUCUGACUAGGAACCAUGAGGUUGCGGGUUUGAUCCCUGGCCUCGCUCAGUGGGUUAAGGAUCCAUCGUUGCAGUGGGCUGUGGUGUAGGUCACAGACUCAGCUCGGAUCCCACGUGGCUGUGGCGUAGGCCACAGCUACAGCUCCAAUUAGAUCCCUAGCCUGGGAAACUCCAUGUACCUCGGAUACAGCCCUAGAAGAGACAAAAAAAAAAAAGCCGCCAUGGUACCGAAACCAAUUAUCUUUUACCCUGGCAUAGUUAAUGCUGCCUCUUGGACAAGAUGGAGCCCAGGUAGAGUAUGUACUAGUGAAUAAUUAAGGAGUAAAGAGAGGCAACAUGCAUUCAGAAAGCGAAGGCUUCUGCUUUGAGUUUUGCUUUAAUUUCUAGGUACAAGGAGAAUAGAAGACUUUUGCAUAACCCUCCACAAUCUUCAAAAAUCUCAGUUUAAAUCCCAUUUUUUUCCCCAAAAAAGCCUCCUUAACUAUACUAUCUCUCCUGAACCCCAACUUAGCGGUUCUCAUUCCUAAUUUGAUGCUUAUAAGAUGGUAUAUUGGAGGCUAUUAUUUAAUGCUUGUCUUGUUUCUUUUCCUGAUUGCAGCCUCCCUGAGGGCAGACAUUAUUUUUUCUCCCACUAAAAAGUAAGCUUUGCUAGCUUCAUCUGGUUCUUUUAUGACUCUAAUUCCUUCACAAUGUGUCACAUAUUAUAGGCAAUCACUAGGUAAUUUUGAAUGAGCAGUUCUAACGUUUCAGCAUCUUUUAUAGCUCUGAUGUUUAUGCUACACAUACUGUACUUACUGGUAAUUGAAAAGAAAGGCAGUUUAUUUUUGCUUUUAUAAAACCAGGUUGGACUCGAAGUGGCCUCUUUGAAGUGGUAGAAUCUGAGACUGAUCUUUGAAGUCUGGCUGUCAUGGUUGAUGGACCUCCCAAAAAAUUGGGGGUAUUUGGGAAGCAUCUAGGGCUUAUGCAACUCUCUGUUGGUUUUAUUUUUAGUUGAGUCCUAGAGCUGUACUCAUAAAUCACAAGCUGACUCAAAAGAGAGAUUGCUUUGGUUAUUCUAAAGAUAAAGGGGGAAAAAAAAAAACAGCGAGAUUUGUCAAGUAGCAACUUUCAGCACUGGGCUGUGUCAUUUAAAAUAUGUAUUCUCAUGUAAGUGUCAAAAGAACCCUGCCAGUAGUAAUAUAUUUUCUUCUUUUAGAUGUAAAAGGAGGUUCAGAAAAAGUAACUAAUUUACUUGAACUUUAAGUUCUCUGGGAUCCAAGUGUCUGGCACAGAGGAGUCAUUCAACUAAAUGUGAAUUAAAUUUAUUCAAGGGUCCUUAGUCAGACAGCGAUGGAUCAGGCUGAGUUUGAACCCAAAGCUGUUGGUAUUUGAAGCUCAUCCUCUUUCCAUUAUUGUCUCUCCUGUAAAUAGAAAUUCUCAUAGAGAGAGAACCAGAACCGGCAUUAUUAGCUUUUCAUUGUAGCUCUUUUGCUCUUUCAGCUCAGGCUGCAUGAGACUGAAGUUUUGAACAUUUGGGCCCAAAUAUCAUUUUUCUCUGUCUAUGCUCUUUGCCCAGAGAUGAUGCUAAGGAUAAACUUGACUUCCUGGCAACAUCUCAGCCAGAAACUGAGAACUGUUAGAACACACUCUUCCUGAUAUCCUAAGGAGGCAAAAAUACACAUUUGGAAAGAAUAAAGUUGCCGAAACGGUAACACCAUUUGCAUUUUAUUCUCUGUCUCCUCCCUCCGCCCCCAGGGUAGGGGCUAGUGGCCAUCCAAACCCAGCCAAGAAGUCAGCAAGUUAGAACUUUAUCAUGUUUAUCGUUCUGGUUCGUGGGUUUGUUUUUAAUAAAGUCCUGGCUCUCCAAGUAGCUGAGGACUAUUUCACAUGAUCAGCAGAUUUAAAAGUCUUUUCCUGAGCUCUAGGACAAAGGAGAAUAUAUUACAUUUUAUACGCACAAACUCUCAUUCCCACACUUCCCUCCCAGCUGACACAAAUACUUGGUUUUUUACAUUUUUUUUUUAGACACUGCAUCUACUUUUUAAGACUCAAUUUGAAUCGAUGCUUUUUUAAUUUGAAUGCUGCACAAAUGAUACUUGCUCUUCUGCCACACCCACUGGUGCCAAAGAGAGGAGGAAAGUGGUGACUGUUGGAAGCACAGCUUUGUGUAGGGCACCGUGAGAGCCAGCACCUAACUGGUGAGAAGUUACACGGAGGAGCCGGGAGGUCAGUACAUGCAAUGCUCUUCUGGUGUUGAGCCUCUCAAGGAGUGGAAGCGGGACGGGCUUGGGAGACGGUCUGUUCACAGGGAGGACAGAUGUCUCAGAAACGGAAGGAGUGUGGAGUGAGGAAGAUGGGGCUAAACGUCCAGUGCCCACUCGGACUAGGAUUUCUUUAGUCCCCCGCCCAGUGCCCUUGGCCUUCGGAAACUAGCAAUUUGGUUUUGUUUCUUAUUUUGAGAAAAUUGUAUCAUGUGAGACAAAAUGGAGUCCAAAGGAUAAUAGAAAAGGAAUUAAAAUUUGUUACAUUAGCUAGUAUAUGUUAGUCAUAUGUUAGUCAUUUGUUACAUUAGUUAGUAUAUGUUAAUAGACACACGCAUGCGUGAGUGCGUGCUGUGGGGAUGGGUGGGGCAGGCGCUGCAGGUGUCCUGGCACCUGGUCCCACCCCCACCUUAGUUGUCGAGCCUACCCUCAUCCCUCCUGCUGGAUCUUCUUCCCCCUGUUCUGUCAGCACAUUGCCCUCGCCCUCUUCUUCCUGGCUCUGUGAUCUUGGGGAUCACUUAACUACUCUGGGCAUUGGCUGCUUCUCCUCUAAAAUGGAGAUAUUAGUGUCUCCUUGCAAGUCAUGAUAAAUGUUAGGGAGCUUGUGUGCAGAACACCAGCGCAGGGUCUCGAAAGCGAGAGGCAGCUGGUUUUGUCUUUCUUUCAAACGUUUGUUCAGCAGAUCAAGACUUGAACACCAGGACUGGGUAUAUGCUCGGCUCACUCUUAAGGAUACAAGCACAGAACCUUCUCAUCAGGGGCUCGUAAAAUACUGAGAAAGACAUGUUUUACUGCAGGGUGGAGCAUGUGCUUGGACGCAAAUAUACCCCAGAACACAGCUCAGAUACCCAGGUUCCUCAGGAAUCAACUUCUCUGAUUCCAUUUUCCUCUAUUCUGGAAAUAGUUGUUCCCCCUUUUGAGCUUCAGAGAGGUGUGCUAGCCAGUAAUGGCACCACAGGUGUGGCGACUGUGUACUUGAAAUGUGGUUAUUUUAUUUGAGAUGUGCUAUAAGCGUAAAGCACACAGCAGACUUCAAAGGCU